CUUCCCUGAGCAGUCUGCAUAAUUAUGGAGGCGCUGCGUCGUGAGGCAAAAGGCGUUCAAGUUGAUGGAAAAGCAGAAACUGCGUAGAGAGCUGGCGGCUGCGCGAAUCUGUGAAUAGAUAGGACGAGGUGCAGACUGGGUGCAGAUGUGGAUACAGGCGCUGGUCCACCUCAAGGGAGACUACGCCAGCGCCAUCGACGCCCUUUGAAAGGUUCAAACGUUUCAUCCGGUGGUUAGCGCUGGGCAGGACGUUUGUGAAGACUCUCUGUGACGCGAGAAACGUACCAAGGGAUCGAGAAGCUGGUGUCGACCAGCGUUAAGGUGCAAUUGGUGUUGACGCUCAGCUUAGCAAAGCCAGUCUCGAUUCUCGGCGUCCACGGCCCUAUAUUCUGGGCUGCAGUCCCUUGCUAUUAGGUCCACCCGUUCGAGGGAACCACCUGGUGGCAUGUGCCAAGAAAAUCAGUUCGUCCGAGGCUAAAGCGUGGAGUCUUGACGCCGUCAUUGCGUGCUGAGCGUGGCGCCGAAAAUUUUCAAGACCGACGAGGGCCUCUUCAACAGCUAGCUGGCGGCGACUAAAUUUUUGUAUGAAAACAUUUUUUAAUUUGUUGUACUUUAUUCCUUAUUCAAAAAUGGAAAAAAAACGAAAUGAAUUUUUCCUCUGCCGGCUUAUUUGUUUGCGUCGCAUAAUGCCCCUGUCAGGUGAGAUUUGCAACAAAAUUAUUUUGCAGUUUAGGCAGAUGUUUCAUUGUAAUUUUCAAACGUACCUGUCCAGCCAAUUGAGCAUUUAGGUCAACUUUUAAUUAAUCCCAUUAGCUAUUUUUGGAAAUUAGGACAGAUUGUAAUCGUUCCCGAAAGAGGGCGGAUCACGGCAAGCGUUUGUAAAAAGUAUCGGUCGAUACUGGGCGAAAAGUCGAUAUCCCGCCGUUAAAGAAUAGGGAAGUAUCGAUAUAUCGCCAAGUAUUGACAGAUAUUUUGUAAAACGCUUUCUAUUGAAAAUUUUGUAUUUUUUAAUAAUUAUUGCU